AUUGAACGCUGGCGGCAGGCCUAACACAUGCAAGUCGAGCGGAUGAAGGGAGCUUGCUCCUGGAUUCAGCGGCGGACGGGUGAGUAAUGCCUAGGAAUCUGCCUGGUAGUGGGGGAUAACGUCCGGAAACGGGCGCUAAUACCGCAUACGUCCUGAGGGAGAAAGUGGGGGAUCUUCGGACCUCACGCUAUCAGAUGAGCCUAGGUCGGAUUAGCUAGUUGGUGGGGUAAAGGCCUACCAAGGCGACGAUCCGUAGCUGGUCUGAGAGGAUGAUCAGUCACACUGGAACUGAGACACGGUCCAGACUCCUACGGGAGGCAGCAGUGGGGAAUAUUGGACAAUGGGCGAAAGCCUGAUCCAGCCAUGCCGCGUGUGUGAAGAAGGUCUUCGGAUUGUAAAGCACUUUUAGUUGGGAGGAAGGGCAGUAAGUUAAUACCUUGCUGUUUUGACGGUACCAACAGAAUAAGCACCGGCUAACUUCGUG
rnacentral:rRNA from 1 species